CAGUAGCCGCGGUAACACGAAGGGGGCUAGCGUUGCUCGGAAUUACUGGGCGUAAAGGGAGCGUAGGCGGACAUUUAAGUCAGGGGUGAAAUCCCAGAGCUCAACUCUGGAACUGCCUUUGAUACUGGGUGUCUUGAGUGUGAUAGAGGUAUGUGGAACUCCGAGUGUAGAGGUGAAAUUCGUAGAUAUUCGGAAGAACACCAGUGGCGAAGGCGACAUACUGGAUCAUUACUGACGCUGAGGCUCGAAAGCGUGGGGAGCAAACAGGAUUAGAUACCCGAGUAGUCCCUGUCUCUUAUAC
rnacentral:rRNA from 1 species